CUUGGCAACUGCCUAAACGACUCCUCCCAUCCACCCUAUUAUUGAGAAGACCUUGAAAUCGGCACAUUGUCGCACAUGAUGUCGAAUCAACAGAGCUAUCAUUGGGGCUGAAAAGUUAGCAUGAUCUCUAUUAGCACGAUGGCCUAUACAGCAUCGGUGGUGCUGAUGAUGCCUGCCCCUGUGACUGUCGUUCCUGCUGGAAAUUUGC